rnacentral:lncRNA from 1 species
AUAUUACAAGCAAAUCAAAAACUUUCCUUAUUUUUAACCAUACAUUUUCCAUCAAUUUACUAUUCAAAAAUACAUUUUUACAUAAAAAUAUUUUUCAAACAUCCUCAUAAUGUCUUCGGAACACACAUAAUACCAGUCAAACUAAAACACGUGUUAGAACAAGGCAACCCUAAACAGAGCAGCCGUUCAUUCCUAUGCCAAAUCGAAAGCGACCACCGUCCAACUCCACCAAUCUACAGUGGCCAUUUUCUUCAAUAAAUUUUGAAAGCUGCAAUUUCCAUUUCAACCUCUUAGACUGUAGAAUCAACAACUGGCAACUGGUCACUUUUGCUAAACAACUGUUGAUGAUGAUAUUUUAUUAGCCCUUUUUUAUUGUUUUCUUCCAAUUUUUAGUUAUUGGUGGAACCCAAAUCUAGAAUUCUAUUUCCACCUUUCAUGUCCUUUUCAAUCUUUAUCCGAAAAUUUGCCAAAUCGAAAGCGACCACCGUCCAACUCCACCAAUCUACAGUGGCCAUUUUCUUCAAUAAAUUUUGAAAGCUGCAAUUUCCAUUUCAACCUCUUAGACUGUAGAAUCAACAACUGGCAACUGGUCACUUUUGCUAAACAACUGUUGAUGAUGAUAUUUUAUUAGCCCUUUUUUAUUGUUUUCUUCCAAUUUUUAGUUAUUGGUGGAACCCAAAUCUAGAAUUCUAUUUCCACCUUUCAUGUCCUUUUCAAUCUUUAUCCGAAAAUUCUUGUAAGUAAUAUAUUUCUUGAUAUUUUUUUUCUUCAGCCAUCCACCAGUUUUAGUGUAGAUUUCCAUUUCAUCUUGGUUCCGUUUGUCAUCAAAAUUUCUUCUUUUAUUCUUAUAAGUUAGUAGUAAUGAUAUUGGUUGAUACAUCAACUAUUUGUAUUCUUGUUUUAAAUUUUAAAUGAUAUCGAGUUUAGACUUGGAAGCUUAGGUGUUGUAUUUUUCGAAUUAAUAGUGUUAUUCCACAUCAGAUUAGGUAUCAGCAUAUCGCAUG